UAAGGAAUAUUGGUCAAUGGGCGGGAGCCUGAACCAGCCAUGCCGCGUGCAGGAAGACGGCCUUAUGGGUUGUAAACUGCUUUUAUCGGGGAAUAAACCUGCUUACGUGUAGGCAGCUGAAGGUACCCGAAGAAUAAGCAUCGGCUAACUCCGUGCCAGCAGCCGCGGUAAUACGGAGGAUGCAAGCGUUAUCCGGAUUCAUUGGGUUUAAAGGGUGCGCAGGCGGAAUGAUAAGUCAGUGGUGAAAUUCAACGGCUCAACUGUUGACCUGCCAUUGAUACGUUCGAUCUAGAGUAGAGUUGGAGUGGGCGGAAUGUGUCAUGUAGCGGUGAAAUGCUUAGAUAUGACACAGAACACCGAUCGCGAAGGCAGCUCACUAAGCUAGAACUGACGCUCAUGCACGAAAGCGUGGGGAUCAAACA
rnacentral:rRNA from 1 species